AGCGAACGCUGGCGGCAGGCUUAACACAUGCAAGUCGAGCGGGCACUUUCGGGUGUCAGCGGCGGACGGGUGAGUAACGCGGGGGAACGUGCCCUCUGGUUCGGAAUAACUCAGGGAAACUUGAGCUAAUACCGGAUACGCCCUUUUGGGGAAAGGCUUGCUGCCGGAGGAUCGGCCCGCGUCUGAUUAGCUAGUUGGUGAGGUAACGGCUCACCAAGGCGACGAUCAGUAGCUGGUCUGAGAGGAUGAUCAGCCACACUGGGACUGAGACACGGCCCAGACUCCUACGGGAGGCAGCAGUGGGGAAUAUUGGACAAUGGGCGCAAGCCUGAUCCAGCCAUGCCGCGUGAGUGAUGAAGGCCUUAGGGUUGUAAAGCUCUUUUAUCCGGGACGAUAAUGACGGUACCGGAGGAAUAAGCCCCGGCUAACUUCGUG
rnacentral:rRNA from 1 species